AUUGAACGCUGGCGGCAGGCCUAACACAUGCGAGUCGAGCGGAUGAAGGGAGCUUGCUCCUGGAUUCAGCGGCGGACGGGUGAGUAAUGCCUAGGAAUCUGCCUGGUAGUGGGGGAUAACGUCCGGAAACGGGCGCUAAUACCGCAUACGUCAUGAGGGAGAAAGUGGGGGAUCUUCGGACCUCACGCUAUCAGAUGAGCCUAGGUCGGAUUAGCUAGUUGGUGGGGUAAAGGCCUACCAAGGCGACGAUCCGUAACUGGUCUGAGAGGAUGAUCAGUCACACUGGAACUGAGACACGGUCCAGACUCCUACGGGAGGCAGCAGUGGGGAAUAUUGGACAAUGGGCGAAAGCCUGAUCCAGCCAUGCCGCGUGUGUGAAGAAGGUCUUCGGAUUGUAAAGCACUUUUAGUUGGGAGGAAGGGCAGUAAGUUAAUACCUUGCUGUUUUGACGUUACCAACAGAAUAAGCACCGGCUAACUUCGUG
rnacentral:rRNA from 1 species